GACGAACGCUGGCGGCGUGCCUAAUACAUGCAAGUCGAGCGGACGGAUGGGAGCUUGCUCCCUGAAGUCAGCGGCGGACGGGUGAGUAACACGUGGGCAACCUGCCUGUAAGACUGGGAUAACUCCGGGAAACCGGGGCUAAUACCGGAUAACUCUUUUCCUCACAUGAGGAAAAGCUGAAAGAUGGUUUCGGCUAUCACUUACAGAUGGGCCCGCGGCGCAUUAGCUAGUUGGUGAGGUAACGGCUCACCAAGGCCACGAUGCGUAGCCGACCUGAGAGGGUGAUCGGCCACACUGGGACUGCGACACGGCCCAGACUCCUACGGGAGGCAGCAGUAGGGAAUCUUCCGCAAUGGACGAAAGUCUGACGGAGCAACGCCGCGUGAGUGAUGAAGGUUUUCGGAUCGUAAAACUCUGUUGUCAGGGAAGAACAAGUACCGGAGUAACUGCCGGUACCUUGACGGUACCUGACCAGAAAGCCACGGCUAACUACGUGCCAGCAGCCGCGGUAACAC
rnacentral:rRNA from 1 species